GCUAUGGCUUAGGGUUUAUAAUUUUUCACCAGAAAUCAUCGAUUACGCUCCUCAUGGCCACCAAGCUAAUUUCUCUUUAUCUUCUUCUUUUGCUCUUCAUUUUUCAGUUUCGACUCUCUUUGUCAGAACAGACAAACUCUAUGCAGUCUGUUCCUGAUCUCCAGAAGUCUAUGUACACGGUCAUUGAUGGAUAUCCUUGUGUACGGC
rnacentral:misc_RNA from 1 species